CGCAGCCCCUGCAGCUGUCUGGCCAAGGGCCGAUUGGAAGGUCUGGAAAGAGGAUUACAGCAGUUGGCGCUGUCGUGAAGGAGGUUACCUAAAAUAAACUGAUUGUUGUCCCGUGGUCAGAAACGGAAGUCUGCGGACGGGUGAGGUUCAUCCAAGCUCAGAGCCGGACAGUUCGACCGUCCGCGAGGUUAUCUGUGGGGAAAGGGCAGUUAGAGGUACUGGAUCCAGACAAAAGGCCAAGAGCAUGGUGGUCAGCAGAAGAAAGAGAAUGCAUGUGGGAAUAAUUAGUACUUUCUCAUCAUGAUUAAGGAAGAGAUGCUCCAUCUAAAGAGGAACUUCUGACUCAGUGAUAUUGGAAAUAAAUCUGAAGCAAAUAGUAGGAAGACUGAAACAAAGCUUCAGUGGAAGCUUUUCCUCAAGAAGUGGUAGAGAAGGGGAGUGAGCAGCACUGAC